ensembl:lncRNA
GUAAAGUGAAGUGUCAACCCAAUAGAAAUAGUAAAUAGUUCCAUUUCUUUCCCGAUACGAGGUUCCUCUCGGCUGAUUUUAUGUCUGGUUUUAGCACGAGGAUGGACAUCUCGCGAUGGGAGGGGGGGGAGGAUGCGAGCCGGUGAUGUCAGACGUCAUUAGCAUAUUUCUGACUAUAUCUCGUGCCUGCGCCAGCACGCGCCACUACUGCUGCGACGCACCGACCAAGACGCCUUCCAGCCAUCCUCCGACGCGCCGCCUCACGCAAAGGUGCAAAAAAUGCGCAUCUGGGCGGUGGUUUCCUUCAGAUUGCGGUCCGGAGGGGAAGAAGCGCCUUUGCGGAUGUUUCACUCCUUCCUCGUGGACACUUAAUGAAUCCAUCUUUUACCGCUGGAUUACGACAACCUGCAAAUAUGAGUGACGCCAAGCCCGACGUUUCAGAAGUGAGCAGCUUCGACAAGUCCAAGCUGAAGAAGACCGAGACCCAGGAGAAGAAUCCCCUGCCUACACAAGAUGUCAUCGAACAGGAGAAGGCGUCAGAGAAGUCGUGAAGCCCCCCCCCCCCCUCACCCCCGUCAUGCACUGUACACCGCACCCCCCCCUCCCACCCCCACCCCUCCUCCCCCGCAUUGCCUUGUUUUCAGCCACUUCUUCUAGAUGUAUAACUUUGUAACCGAAAGUAUGACACGACAACAAUAACCAAGCUGCACAGUCUGUGGACGAGGGACACUUGUCUUUUUUUUCUUUUCUUUUGUCGUCGGGGGCGGCCCUCGCCUCCUUUUAAAAUAUGCCACCUCGAGGGGGGGGAGGUUGUGGAGGCAGACUCGAGGGGAGUCGCUGAAGUGUGCUCUAAAAAGGGGGCGGGGCGCGGCCCAGGAAGCUCAUCGGCGUCCCCCGAAACGCCACCAACCCCCGGCUUCCUGUGCGGCUGCUUUUUGGCCCGAGCUGAGGCGUGUUAUUGUUUCUUUGUCUUUUCGGAAAUGCACAACUUUGUUUGUACAUCGGCCAAAAUGUAAAUGCCCCCAAAAAUUGAGACUUUUUUUUUUUUAUAUAUAUCACGAGGAUAAAAAUACAACGGAUUCCACCCAGAUCCCGGAGCCGCUCAAAUGGACCUCAUUUACCGUUUGAUUUUGACGCCCUUUUGUCGAAGCAAUUCAUGGUGGCUCUUGUGAUGCAAUCUGUCUGAAUUGUCUCUGAUGAGGAAACGCAAAAUAUACCUGCAAUUGAUUCCAUUUGUGUGCUUUCAACGGUAGAUCGGCAUCCUCAGUCGUUCCAGCAGCCAUGUUACCCUGCCACAAAACAUCACUAGAAAUGGAAAAAAAACGUGAAAUGUUGUAAUAAAAAAUUUGUUACUAAAAGAAUUGUGCCGCAGAGUGCUUCUUCUGGCGUCCUCACGUUUUCAUCCACACUUACUCACAAACCGGCGCUUUUAGAAGUGAAUCACAUUUGCAACGUCUUAAAGUCUGUCUGACCCACAUUUCCCCAACUUGCACUGUUCAGUUGCCAAACAAUGCUUUAGCAUUACUUAAGGGAUGAGGC